rnacentral:rRNA from 1 species
UACGAAGGGUGCAAGCGUUACUCGGAAUUACUGGGCGUAAAGCGUGCGUAGGUGGUGAGUUAAGUCUGAUGUGAAAUCCCCGGGCUCAACCUGGGAAUGGCAUUGGAUACUGGCUCGCUAGAGUGCGGUAGAGGGUGGUGGAAUUCCCGGUGUAGCAGUGAAAUGCGUAGAGAUCGGGAGGAACAUCUGUGGCGAAGGCGGCCACCUGGACCGGUACUGACGCUGAUGCGCGAAAGCGUGGGUAGCAAACGGG